rnacentral:rRNA from 1 species
CGAUUAAGCCAUGCGAGUCAUAUGUUCUUCGUGAACAUGGCGUACUGCUCAGUAACACGUGGAUAACCUGCCCUUGGGACCGGGAUAACCCCGGGAAACUGGGGAUAAUACCGGAUAACGCAUAUCUGCUGGAAUGCUUUAUGCGUAAAAUGGAUUUGUCUGCCCAAGGAUGGGUCUGCGGCCUAUCAGGUAGUAGUGGGUGUAAUGUACCUACUAGCCUACGACGGGUACGGGUUGUGAGAGCAAGAGCCCGGAGAUGGAUUCUGAGACAUGAAUCCAGGCCCUACGGGGCGCAGCAGGCGCGAAAACUUUACAAUGCGGGAAACCGUGAUAAGGGGACACCGAGUGCCAGCAUCAUAUGUUGGCUGUCCAGAUGUGUAAAAUACAUCUGUUAGCAAGGGCCGGGCAAGACCGGUGCCAGCCGCCACGGUAACACCGGCGGCCCGAGUGGUGAUCGUGAUUAUUGGGUCUAAAGGGUCCGUAGCCGGUUUGGUCAGUCCUCCGGGAAAUCUGACGGCUCAACCGUUAGGCUUUCGGUGGAUACUGCCAGACUUGGAACCGGGAGAGGUAAGAGGUACUACAGGGGUAGGAGUGAAAUCUUGUAAUCCCUGUGAGACCACCUGUGGCGAAGGCGUCUUACCAGAACGGGUUCGACGGUGAGGGACGAAAGCUGGGGGCACGAACCGGAUUAGAUACCCGGGUAGUCCCAGCCGUAAACGAUGCUCGCUAGGUGUCAGGCAUGGCGCGACCGUGUCUGGUGCCGCAGGGAAGCCGUGAAGCGAGCCACCUGGGAAGUACGGCCGCAAAGCUGAAACUUAAAGGAAUUGGCGGGGGAGCA